AUGGCUGCUGCUCCGGUGGUUGUGCCGCGCAUGAAGCUGGGCUCUCAGGAGCUGGAGGUCUCGGCGCAGGGCCUCGGCUGCAUGGGCAUGUCCGCGGUCUACGGCGAGCGCAAGCCCGAGCAGGACAUGAUCGCGCUCCUCCGCCACGCCGUCGCCGCCGGCGUCACCUUCCUCGACACCUCCGACAUCUACGGCCCCCACACCAACGAGCUCUUGCUCGGCAAGGCGCUGCAGGGAGGGGCGAGGGAGAAGGUCCAGUUGGCCACGAAAUUCGGCAUCACGCCGGCCCGGGAGGUUCGCGGCGACCCGGCGUACGUGCGGGCGGCGUGCGAGGGCAGCCUCGCUCGGCUCGGCGUCGACUGCAUCGACCUCUACUACCAGCACCGCAUCGACAAGAAUGUCCCCGUCGAGAUCACGAUGGGUGAGAUCAAGAAGCUAGUCCAAGAAGGAAAGGUGAAAUACGUCGGGUUGUCGGAGGCCUCGGCAGCGACAAUAAGAAGGGCACACGCAGUUCAUCCCAUCACCGCCGUUCAGCUGGAGUGGUCUCUAUGGUCAAGAGAUGUUGAAGAAGAUAUAAUCCCAACUUGCAGAGAACUUGGCAUUGGAAUUGUGGCGUACAGUCCACUAGGCAGAGGUUUUCUAUCUACUGGACCUAAACUGGUGGACACAUUACCAGAGGACGAUUUCCGCAAGAAUCUCCCAAGAUUUCAACCCGAGAACAUGGAGAAGAACGCGACGAUAUUCGAGCGUGUGAGCGAGAUGGCUGCAAGGAAGGGUUGCACGUCGUCGCAGCUCGCGCUGGCUUGGGUUCACCACCAGGGAAGCGAUGUCUGCCCCAUACCUGGCACAACCAAAGUUGAGAAUUUCAGCCAGAACGUGAGAGCAUUGUCUGUGCAGCUCACGGCUGAGGAGAUGGCUGAGCUGGAAUCCUAUGCCACCAUGGAUGCUGUCCAUGGUGAUCGGUACCACAGCGCGUAUCUGAUGAAUUUAAACACCUGGAAGGACUCCGAGACCCCUCCAGUGUCAUCCUGGAAAGCCACUUAG
rnacentral:rRNA from 1 species